CACGUAGUUAGCCGUGACUUUCUAAGUAAUUACCGUCAAAUAAAGGCCAGUUACUACCUCUAUCUUUCUUCACUACCAACAGAGCUUUACGAGCCGAAACCCUUCUUCACUCACGCGGCGUUGCUCCAUCAGACUUUCGUCCAUUGUGGAAGAUUCCCUACUGCUGCCUCCCGUAGGAGUUUGGGCCGUGUCUCAGUCCCAAUGUGGCCGAUCAGUCUCUCAACUCGGCUAUGCAUCAUUGCCUUGGUAAGCCGUUACCUUACCAACUAGCUAAUGCACCGCAGGUCCAUCCAAGAGUGAUAGCAGAACCAUCUUUCAAACUCUAGACAUGCGUCUAGUGUUGUUAUCCGGUAUUAGCAUCUGUUUCCAGGUGUUAUCCCAGUCUCUUGGGCAGGUUACCCACGUGUUACUCACCCGUCCGCCGCUCGCUUGUAUCUAGUUUCAUUUAGUGCAAGCACUAAAAUCAUCUAGGCAAGCUCGCUCGA
rnacentral:rRNA from 1 species